GAAAGACAGACUGAAACAAAAAACCUCCCCCCUAUUUCAAGUCCAACACUACCAGUUAAACACGCACGCGCGCUAUAAAACGGAGGAACCCUGGUUUCCUCCGAAACAUCUGUCAAUCAAAUCAGUUGAGUCAAGACUUCCAAGCGUGCGGACGUGUUUCACGGAGCUCCCGACAAACCAGAAAAUGAUUCGAGCUACAGUGCAAACCUAUCCAAGUGCACAAAGUUUGGAGCCCAAGUUCCGAGCUUGCAUCUCCUCAAACCACUUCUCAUACUACUACCAGCUCUCCACUACCAGUACACAUGUUAAUAUUUGUUUAUUGUAAAUACCUGGAUUAGGCAUGAUCAAGUGUGCUUUACAUGCACAGACUAAUCUAUGCAGUUUACAAUAGAAACACAAUAGAAAAGAAUGUGAAUUAGUAUGUAACCACUGUACCUGAAGAUUUUCCCCAAAUAUACUGUAAUCCAGUGUAAAUAAAAGCAUGAAUACAUUAAUAAAAA